ensembl:lncRNA
CGGAACUCCGCGGGCCAGGCCACGCCCUCGUCCGAUUACGCCAGAGGGUCGGGGUCGGGGCAGAGGGGGGCCACCCCGCUGGGCCGCGGAGCCCACUGCGCGCUCAGCCCGGACUGGGAGUGGGCGGGCGCUGUCCCCUCUGGACCUCAGCCAGUGGGGACAGACACCACCUCCCAGGGCCGCUGUGCCGAGGUGGGCGAGACCUCAGUCAUCCAGAAAAGACCCUGAGGUUGCCACAUCCUGGGUCAUUUUCCUGGGACAGGGCUGUCCCUCGGGCACAGGCCUGGCAAGCGUGGGGGCUGGAGGCCUCCGCCUCUGGUCUGGGGCCACAUCUGGAGGAGGUCGGGGCUGUGGGCCGGUUCCAGGCCGGGGGACCAGGAGGGUCAGCGUUGUGAUGCCCUUGACGGUGGAAGCCCCAGGGAGGUCAGAGCUGCCAGUGGGGGUGGCAAUCCCGGACUGUGGGGGCCUUGGUUCCUCAUUCAUUCACGCACUCACAGACCACACUUACAGGCCAGGCUCCACCCUGAGGGGCGCUCUAUCCCACCCCCCUGGGCCCUGACCUAACCUGGGGGCUGGCUGCAGACUGCGACUCAGAACCUGAGAGCCGGCACUCGGCACCCUGCGAGCGAGGCUGGGAAAAACCCAGUCCGCCAGAGGCGCGCUGUUGGCUCUCAUGCUUCUGAGGCAGAGGUGGGUCAGGAGCGUCCAGGGAAUCCAGGCCCACGGACCCGAGGGGCUCGUGGCGGAGGCAGGGGCGGGAUCGCCGAGCUCGGCUUUGCUGGCUGCGCUGCCCCCGGUUAGGGCCCACCCAGCUCCGGGAGCCCGCUCUGCCUGGGGGCCUGAGGUCCCUGAGCUGCCUCCACGUUGGGCCUCUGUCCUCCUGCCCCUCUUUCUCUGCAGUGGCUGCUGGGGCCCUCCAGGAGGCCCGAGGCUCGGGACGCCAGGCCUGGGGUCCGCCCCCAGCUGGACCUGGGUGGACAGAGCGUUUCCCUCCUGGGCCUCAGCCUCCCCUCUGCGGACGGGGGACAGCCGCAGUGGGUACAGGCCGUGCAGGCGUGGAGCAGAGCCGAGACCACUGGCGAUGUGCAGCCCCGUUGUUCGGGGAGGAAACAAGCCAGGGGAGGAGGUGCUGGCCCACCUUCAGCUCCAGCAGUGGGACCCCGGCCCCUGAAGUCUGGGCGGCGCUCCCGCCUGAGCUGGCCCGGGUGCCUGCCGGGGAGGGCCAGGUGUGAGCCCGCCCGGCCGCCUGCCUGGAUUCCAGGCUGCCCGGUGUCGAUGCAGCCGAUUUGAAAACGCGUGUCCGCCCCCAGCCUGGCAUACGGACCUUUGCAGCAGCGUUAUUUGUAACCACUGACAACGGGAAGCAACCAAGACGUCCUUCAGUAACUGAAUGGACAAGCAGACUGAGGCCCCUCCAGACAGUGGAACACUCUCAGCAAUAAAACGGAAUGAGCUGCCAGCCACGGAAAGGCGCGGAUGGAUCAUAAACGCAUACUGCUAAGUGAGAGAAAAACCACACGGUUCCGUUUAUGCACCAUUCCGGAAAAGGCAUCGCUCUGGAGACGGCAGACAGAUCAGUGGUUCCGGUGGGGUGGGAGUAGUGGAGACGCGGGGUUUUUAGGGCACCGAAACUCUUCUGGCGGCUCCCUGACACUGUACUUGUCCAAACCACAAGACUCUUCUGCACAAACACUGAGCCUUACUAAAGAGAGUUACUUGGGAGGUCAGGAGACUCCCAGGACGGCAUGCAGACUGUGGCCGGGCAACCUUCCUGAAGGAGGGGAGGCAACAGCGGCUGAGCUGGCAGCCUUGGGGUCCGUGAAACUGGCCGUGAGGGGUGCCGCCGCGGGAGCCUGUUCUUGGGGCGAUGGCGCUGUUUCUGGGGCUGCAGGCUGACAGCUCUUAUCUUCACUGAAAUUGGACCGUGC